rnacentral:misc_RNA from 1 species
GUUGAGUUGAGUUGUAUGAGACUGAUGGAGCUUUUUUCUUAUUUCCUUGGGUUAGCAGUUGCUAGGAUUUCCGACUUGCUCUAGGAAGAAGGCAGAUGGUGUUGGAGAAUCAAGUAAGAACACAAUUGAUGUAGAACCAGGGAAACAAAAGGGAAUAAUGGGGUGAAGUGGUUUACAGGUAACAGUAGCCAGGAGCAGUGCCAAAUAUGCAACAGUGGGACAGUGGUUUUGUGAUGGCUUGGAAACCAAAGGGAAACAAGUUUUUUUUAAUAGUAAACUAAUGGAAGGAAGUUUUGAAGGACGCUUAAACACAGGUUGGACUUUUGGCUCUGAUAUCAAAUUCAUGUAGAACAAGAACAUAAAGGGUAGAAAAGAAUGAGAAACAAAUUCUCAAAUAAAGAACAGAACAUUCUCAAAUUUUAUUAAUUGUCAACAAUAAU